rnacentral:rRNA from 1 species
CGCGUAGGCGGUGGCUUAAGCGUGCGGUGAAAGCCCGGGGCUCAACCCCGGGUCGGCCGUGCGAACUGGGCCACUUGAGCACUGUAGAGGCAGGUGGAAUUCCGGGUGUAGCGGUGGAAUGCGUAGAGAUCCGGAAGAACACCGGUGGCGAAGGCGGCCUGCUGGGCAGUAGCUGACGCUGAGGCGCGACAGCGUGGGGAGCAAACAGGAUUAGAUACCCCCGUA